GAAGAUGCAGUGGGUUGGAAUGGGGUUACUUGAAGAAUAUGAGCAUAAAGAGGUUGAGAUGUGGCAAGGCUGGGCAAAAUUGGUCUUUUUGUGGUCUUUGCUUCAUUCUCAUUACAUGACAACGCGCAAAGAGGGGGCAGCUGUGAGACCCGAAUUUUCCCGGGCUACCUAAUUUUGGCCCAAAUACCCAAUUACGGCCCAUACACAUACAAAGCAAAAGCAAAAACAAAUAAUAAAUCCAAAAAUAUAAGGACCAACCCAAUUAUAUAAAACAACCCAAAAAACUUUGACCCAAUUUUUAAAGCCCAAAACUCUACAAUAGCCCAAAUAAGAAAAGAACCCUAGGCUACUCCAUGCGCCGCACGAACGCAGCCACCGGCAAUCACCACAUACUCCACCUUGCACGUUCGCCCCAGCUCGCGUGUAGCACGCCCCACGCCCGUUCCUCCUCCACGUCUUCGUGACCUGCGACAUGAGCAAAGAAAUAGCAAGUAACCGUUGUAAAAAUGGCUACAAAAGGCCUCGAAUAUUCUUUGUUUUGGGACGGGUUUUUUUUUACCUUUUUUCAUAGAAAUAGAAUACGAGAAAAUACAAGAUUUACACAAAAAUCAAUAGAUAUCAGACAAAAAAUUCACUUCGAAUGUGGUUAUUCAUCAUUUUUUUUUCUUUUUUUUUUCAUUCAAAUCUGGUAUAUAUACUAAGGUAUGAUAAAGGGGAGAGGUUGGAUGUACCUUUCAGUGGCCGUCUACGGUAGCGUAUGAGGCGGUGGUGGGGGGCCUGGUUGUGAACCAUUCGGCUGAAGGUUGAGAGAGCAUCUCAAAAAUUUUGGGGUUUCUUUUUUUAAAAAAAGCAAAAAGGUAAAAUGUUUUUAAGGAAAAAGGGGUUUAAAAAAAGCUUUGGGUUUUUUAAAGGCUUCUUUAAUGUUUUUUUUUUUAAAUGAAAUAAAGGUUGUGUUUAAUUUUAACAGCAUUUGGGGGAGGGAAAGUGAUAGCCUCCGCAUUGACAAGCUAGAUCUGCGAAUGUUCCCCUUAA
rnacentral:lncRNA from 1 species